CCUACGGGGGGCAGCAGUGGGGAAUAUUGGACAAUGGGGGCAACCCUGAUCCAGCCAUGCCGCGUGUGUGAAGAAGGCCCUCGGGUUGUAAAGCACUUUCAGUGAGGAAGAACGCCUGGUGGUUAAUACCCAUCAGGAAAGACAUCACUCACAGAAGAAGCACCGGCUAACUCCGUGCCAGCAGCCGCGGUAAUACGGAGGGUGCGAGCGUUAAUCGGAAUUACUGGGCGUAAAGCGCGCGUAGGUGGCUUGAUAAGCCGGUUGUGAAAGCCCCGGGCUCAACCUGGGAACGGCAUCCGGAACUGUCAAGCUAGAGUGCAGGAGAGGAAGGUAGAAUUCCCGGUGUAGCGGUGAAAUGCGUAGAGAUCGGGAGGAAUACCAGUGGCGAAGGCGGCCUUCUGGACUGACACUGACACUGAGGUGCGAAAGCGUGGGUAGCAAACAGGAUUAGAACCCUAGUAGUC
rnacentral:rRNA from 1 species